rnacentral:tRNA from 1 species
GCCAGCGUAGCUCAGUUGGUAGAGCUACUGAUUUGUAAUCAGUGGGUCAGGGGUUCGAGUCCCUUCGCUGGCUCCA